rnacentral:rRNA from 1 species
UAGGGGGUAUUGCACCUACCGAAGACUAUCAAACUCCGAAUGCCGUCAUCUUAUACUUGGGAGUCAGACUGUGGGUGAUAAGAUUCAUAGUCGAAAGGGCAACAGCCCAGAUCGUCAGCUAAGGUCCCUAAAUGUAAGUUAAGUGGUAAAGGAUGUGGGAUUGCACAGACAACCAGGAUGUUGGCUUAGAAGCAGCCACUCAUUCAAAGAGUGCGUAAUAGCUCACUGGUCGAGUGAUCCUGCGCCGAAGAUUUCCGGGGCUAAAACUUACUACCGAAGCUACGGCAUCAGUAAUGAUGGGUAGGGGAGCUUCCCAUACGGGUUGAAGCAUGACCGUAAGGACAUGUGGACAGUAUGGGAGUGAGAAUGUUGGCAUGAGUAGCGAGAUGUGGGUGAGAAUCCCACAGGCCGUAAACCCAAGGUUUCCAGGGGAAGGUUCGUCCGCCCUGGGUUAGUCGGGACCUAAGCUGAGGCCGAAAGGCGUAGGUGAUGGACAACAGGUUGAUAUUCCUGUACUACCGAUAACCGUUUGAGAGA